rnacentral:rRNA from 1 species
UGCCAGCAGCCGCGGUAAUUCCAGCUCCAAUAGCGUAUAUUAAAGUUGUUGCGGUUAAAAAGCUCGUAGUCUGAGUUCUGUUCCGGACUGGUCGGGGAGGUCACCGCCCGGUGCUUGCCCGUCAGGUUCCGAACAGCCCCCGCCACGAGCGGGGGCCAAGCCGGUUCUGCCGGGGUGCUCUUGACCGAGUGUCCCGCGCGGCCGGCCGCUUCACCUUGAACAAAUGAGAGUGCUCAAAGCAGGCUACUCUUGACACUAAAGCCCGAAUGUUAACUGCAUGGAAUGAUGGAAGAUGAUCUCGGUUCCACGUUUGCUGGUCCCAGGUCCAGCAGCCUGCUGCUGGGCCUAUUUAGGAACCCGAGUUAAUGAUAAACAGGGACUGUCGGGGGCAUCCGUACUACGGCGCGAGAGGUGAAAUUCAGUGACCGCCGUAGGACGAACAACAGCGAAAGCAUUUGCCAAGAAUGUCUUCGUUGAUCAAGAACGAAAGUUAGAGGAUCGAAGGCGAUCAGAUACCGCCCUAGUUCUAACCCUAAACGAUGCUGACCAGCUAUUCGCCGUCGUUAUUCCCAUGACGUGGCGAGACGCCCCCGGGAAACCUCGAGUCUUUGAGUUCCGGGGGUAGUAUGGUUGCAAAACUGAAACUUAAAGGAAUUGACGGAAGGGCACCACCAGGAGUGGAGCCUGCGGCUUAAUUUGACUCAACACGGGAAACCUCACCAGGCCCGGACACCAGAAGGAUUGACAGAUUAAGAGCUCUUUCUCAAUUUGGUGGGUGGUGGUGCAUGGCCGUUCUUAGUUGGUGGAGUGAUUUGUCUGGUUAAUUCCGGUAACGAACGAGACUCUGGCCUACUAACUAGUGGGCGGGUGUUCCGGUAAGGGGCCCCGUCCGACAAUGUCUUCUUAGAGGGAUGAGCAGCGAGUAUAGCUGCAGGAGAUUGAGCAAUAACAGGUCUGUGAUGCCCCUUAGAA